rnacentral:rRNA from 1 species
GACGAACGCUGGCGGCGCGCCUAACACAUGCAAGUCGAACGAGAGAUGAGGAGCUUGCUCUUCAAAUCGAGUGGCGAACGGGUGAGUAACGCGUGAGGAACCUGCCUCAAAGAGGGGGACAACAGUUGGAAACGACUGCUAAUACCGCAUAAGCCCACGGCUCGGCAUCGAGCAGGGGGAAAAGGAGCAAUCCGCUUUGAGAUGGCCUCGCGUCCGAUUAGCUAGUUGGUGAGGUAAUGGCCCACCAAGGCGACGAUCGGUAGCCGGACUGAGAGGUUGAACGGCCACAUUGGGACUGAGACACGGCCCAGACUCCUACGGGAGGCAGCAGUGGGGAAUAUUGCACAAUGGGGGAAACCCUGAUGCAGCGACGCCGCGUGGAGGAAGAAGGUCUUCGGAUUGUAAACUCCUGUUGUUGAGGAAGAUAAUGACGGUACUCAACAAGGAAGUGACGGCU